GUUAAAUGUAGAAGUGGUGAUUAUUGUAUGGAGGCUGAUGAAAGAGUGAUUUGCAAUAUUUGAUCAGUAUAAAAGGUGGUUUAAAUUUAGGUACCUCUAAUUGGCCGCGAUACAGAGUAUGUGGAACGCUCCUAUUGGUGCUUUAGAAAAAGCUUCCGAAUACUAGCCGAGCCCGACGGCUGCGUUUA